rnacentral:rRNA from 1 species
CGUGCGGGAAGAAGGCCUUCGGGUUGUAAACCGCUGUCGGGAGUUAAGAAAUGUAAGGAUGUUAAUAGCAUCUUUGCUUGACUAAGGCUCCGGAGGAAGCCACGGCUAACUCUGUGCCAGCAGCCGCGGUAAUACAGAGGCGGCAAGCGUUGUUCGGAAUUAUUGGGCGUAAAGAGCACGUAGGCGGCUAUGUAAGUCGGUUGUGAAAGCCUUCCGCUCAACGGGAGAACAGCAUCCGAUACUGCAUGGCUUGAGUGCGGGAGGGGAGAGUGGAACUUCUGGUGGAGCGGUGAAAUGCGUAGAUAUCAGAAGGAACGCCGGCGGCGAAAGCGGCUCUCUGGCCCAUAACUGACGCUGAGUGUGCGAAAGCUAGGGGAGCAAACGGGAUUAGAUACCCCGGUAGUCCUAGCCGUAAACGAUGGGCACUAAGUAGAGGGGUUUUAA